AACAGAUUUACUUCGGUAAUGACGUUAGGAAAGCGAGCGGCGGAUGGGUGAGUAACACGUGGGGAAUCUGCCCCAUAGUCUGGGAUACCACUUGGAAACAGGUGCUAAUACCGGAUAAGAAAGCAGAUCGCAUGAUCAGCUUUUAAAAGGCGGCGUAAGCUGUCGCUAUGGGAUGGCCCCGCGGUGCAUUAGCUAGUUGGUAAGGUAAAGGCUUACCAAGGCGAUGAUGCAUAGCCGAGUUGAGAGACUGAUCGGCCACAUAGGGAUUGAGACACGGCCCAAACUCCUACGGGAGGCAGCAGUAGGGAAUCUUCCACAAUGGACGCAAGUCUGAUGGAGCAACGCCGCGUGAGUGAAGAAGGUUUUCGGAUCGUAAAGCUCUGUUGUUGGUGAA
rnacentral:rRNA from 1 species